rnacentral:rRNA from 1 species
AGUCGAGCGCACCUUCGGGUGAGCGGCGGACGGGUUAGUAACGCGUGGGAACGUGCCCAGAUCUGCGGAAUAGCCACUGGAAACGGUGAGUAAUACCGCAUACGCCCUUCGGGGGAAAGAUUUAUCGGAGAAGGAUCGGCCCGCGUUAGAUUAGGUAGUUGGUGGGGUAAUGGCCUACCAAGCCUACGAUCUAUAGCUGGUUUUAGAGGAUGAUCAGCCACACUGGGACUGAGACACGGCCCAGACUCCUACGGGAGGCAGCAGUGGGGAAUCUUAGACAAUGGGCGCAAGCCUGACCUAGCCAUGCCGCGUGAGUGAUGAAGGCCUUAGGGUCGUAAAGCUCUUUCGCCAGAGAUGAUAAUGACUGUAUCUGGUAAAGAAACCCCGGCUAACUCCGUGCCAGCAGCCGCGGUAAUACGGAGGGGGUUAGCGUUGUUCGGAAUUACUGGGCGUAAAGCGCACGUAGGCGGAUUAGAAAGUUGGGGGUGAAAUCCCGGGGCUCAACCUCGGAACUGCCUCCAAAACUCCUAGUCUAGAGUUCGAGAGAGGUGAGUGGAAUUCCAAGUGUAGAGGUGAAAUUCGUAGAUAUUUGGAGGAACACCAGUGGCGAAGGCGGCUCACUGGCUCGAUACUGACGCUGANGUGCGAAAGUGUGGGGAGCAAACAGGAUUAGAUACCCUGGUAGUCCACACCGUAAACGAUGAAUGCCAGCCGUCGGGUAGUAUACUGCUCGGUGACACACCUAACGGAUUAAGCAUUCCGCCUGGGGAGUACGGUCGCAAGA